GUUUCCGUAGUGUAGUGGUUAUCACGUGCGCUUUACACGCGCAAGGUCCCAGUUCAAACCUGGGCGGAAACA
rnacentral:tRNA from 1 species